rnacentral:rRNA from 1 species
GUGCCAGCCGCCGCGGUAAUACGUAGGGACCGAGCGUUGUCCGGAUUUAUUGGGCGUAAAGAGCUCGUAGGCGGCCGUCCACGUCGGGUGUGAAAGCUCGGGGCUCAACCCUGAGAGGCCAUUCGAUACGGGACGGCUUGAGGCAGCUAGGGGAGAUUGGAAUUCCUGGUGUAGCGGUGAAAUGCGCAGAUAUCAGGAGGAACACCGGUGGCGAAGGCGGAUCUCUGGGGCUGUUCUGACGCUGAGGAGCGAAAGCUGGGGGAGCGAACAGGAUUAGAAACCCCAGUAGUCC